UACGUAGGGUGCGAGCGUUGUCCGGAAUUAUUGGGCGUAAAGAGCUCGUAGGCGGUCUGUCGCGUCGGUCGUGAAAACUUGGGGCUUAACCCUGAGCUUGCGGUCGAUACGGGCAUGACUGGAGUUCGGUAGGGGAGACUGGAAUUCCUGGUGUAGCGGUGAAAUGCGCAGAUAUCAGGAGGAACACCGGUGGCGAAGGCGGGUCUCUGGGCCGAUACUGACGCUGAGGCACGAAAGCGUGGGGGAGCAAACAGG
rnacentral:rRNA from 1 species